UCUCCGUAGGUGAACCUGCGGAGGGAUCAUUACUGAGUGAGGGCUCACGCCCGACCUCCAACCCUUUGUGAUUCGUACUCGUUGCUUCGGGGGCGACCCUGCCGUCCGCGGCUGAGUGCCCCCGGGGUCAAUCAAACACUGCAUCUUUGCGUCGGAGUUUAAAACAAAUUAAACAAAACUUUCAACCACGGAUCUCUUGGUUCUGGCAUCGAUGAAGAACGCAGC
rnacentral:misc_RNA from 1 species